AGAAUCAACGCUGGCGGCGUGCCUAACACAUGCAAGUCGAACGAGAAAGUGGAGCAAUCCAUGAGUAAAGUAGCGACCGGGUGAGUAACACGUGACUAACCUACCUUCGAGUGGGGGAUAACAUCGGGAAACCGAUGCUAAUACCGCAUAACAUCGCAAGAUCAAAGCAGCAAUGCGCUGGAAGAGGGGGUCGCGGCUGAUUAGCUAGUUGGCGGGUAACGGCCCACCAAGGCGAAGAUCGGUAGCCGGCCUGAGAGGGCGCACGGCCACACUGGAACUGAAACACGGUCCAGACUCCUACGGGAGGCAGCAGUGGGGAAUUUUGCGCAAUGGGGGAAACCCUGACGCAGCAACGCCGCGUGGAGGAUGAAGCCCCUUGGGUGUAAACUCCUUUCGACCAAGACGAUAAUGACGGUACUGGUGGAAGAAGCACCGGCUAACUCUGUGCCAGCAGCCGC
rnacentral:rRNA from 1 species